rnacentral:rRNA from 1 species
GUAGGUGGCAAGCGUUGUCCGGAAUUAUUGGGCGUAAAGCGCGCGCAGGCGGUUCUUUAAGUCUGAUGUGAAAGCCCACGGCUCAACCGUGGAGGGUCAUUGGAAACUGGAGAACUUGAGUACAGAAGAGGAAAGCGGAAUUCCACGUGUAGCGGUGAAAUGCGUAGAGAUGUGGAGGAACACCAGUGGCGAAGGCGGCCUUCUGGUCUGUAACUGACGCUGAGGCGCGAAAGCGUGGGGAGCAAACAGGAUUAGAUACCCUGGUAGUCCACGCCGUAAACGAUGAGUGCUAGGUGUUAGGGGGUUUCCGCCCCCCUUAGUGCUGCAGCUAACGCAUUAAGCACUCCGCCUGGGAGUACGGCCGCAAGGCUGA